UGGGGAAUAUUGGACAAUGGGCGCAAGCCUGAUCCAGCCAUGCCGCGUGAGUGAUGAAGGCCCUAGGGUUGUAAAGCUCUUUCACCGGUGAAGAUAAUGACGGUAACCGGAGAAGAAGCCCCGGCUAACUUCGUGCCAGCAGCCGCGGUAAUACGAAGGGGGCUAGCGUUGUUCGGAUUUACUGGGCGUAAAGCGCACGUAGGCGGACUUUUAAGUCAGGGGUGAAAUCCCGGGGCUCAACCCCGGAACUGCCUUUGAUACUGGAAGUCUUGAGUAUGGUAGAGGUGAGUGGAAUUCCGAGUUUAGAGGUGAAAUUCGUAGAUAUUCGGAGGAACACCAGUGGCGAAGGCGGCUCACUGGACCAUUACUGACGCUGAGGUGCGAAAGCGUGGGGAGCAAACAGG
rnacentral:rRNA from 1 species